rfam:Aspergillus cristatus strain GZAAS20.1005 Scaffold_Scf_1, whole genome shotgun sequence.
GCCGGGCUAGCUCAAUUGGUCAGAGCGUCAGACUUUUAAAUCACAAGAGAGAUCUGAAAGUUGCGGGUUCGAGUCCCGCGUUUGGCG